AUGCUACGCCGAGCUCCCAGGCUUCUCGCCGCCGUAAACCUCACCUUCCCCGCCACAGCCGACCUCGCCCGCAUUCCCUACCCGGGCCUUCACGUACCAACAGCACUGUUCCACCAUGCGCCCGCUGGGGGCGAGGGUGUCGCCCGCCACCUGCUCGACGGAAUGCCCCACGGAACACGGGCCAGCUCCAUCGUGCGCGCGCUCAGGGACGGCGCGCGCCCGGCCGCAGACACCGUCGCCGCCCUCCACUGCGCGUCCCUCAAGUCCGGCGCGGUGCUGGACCCGCCCGUGCGCACCUCCCUCCUCACGGCCUACGCCAGGAGGAGGGGCGAUGCGUGUGCCGCCCUGGCCCUGUUCGAAGAGGCCGCCCGCCCAGACGUGAUCCUGUGGAACGCCGCGCUCGAUGCUCUGACGCGGAGCUGCCGUCUGGGUGACGCUGUUGUUCUGUUCCGGCGGAUGGUGUGCGUGCUCGGGGCGUUCGAUUCGGCCACCAUGGUCAUCAUGCUGUCGGGGGCGUCGCGUGCCAGAGACAUGGAGCUUGGGACGGCGCUCCAUGCCGCGGCCGUGAAGAGACGCCUCGACACUGACCUGAACCUUCAGAAUGCUCUCGUGGACAUGUACGCGAAGUGUGGGCGUUUCUGCACUUCGGAGGCUGUGUUUUGGAGGAUGCCGUGUUGGGACACCACCUCAUGGAAUUCUAUGAUAGGUGGAAGCACGUUCAAUGGACUUUCUGAAGUUUCAGCUUGUUACUUCAGGGAGAUGAUCCGUUUGGCGGUUCAGGCAGAUGAGGUGACCCUGUCUUCUGUCCUUUCAGCUGCUUCUCACACAGAUGAUCCUUUGUCCUUUGGGGAGUCUGUCCAUGGCUGUGUGGUCAAGCUUGGUUACGAGGACACUGCAUCUUGCUCGGUGGCGAAUUCUCUGAUAACAUUUUAUUCAGAGCUUGGAUUUUCCAACGAUGCGGAGAAUGUCUUUGCAGGCAUUUCAAGUAAAACUUUGGUAUCAUGGAAUGCUAUGAUCAAGGGAUUGGUGGAGAAUGAAAAGGUCAGCGAAGCCCUUUUUGUUUUCCAUGAAAUGAUAUGCAGGUACCAGCCAGAUCAUGCCACUUUAGUGACUGUAAUUUCUGGCUGUGCUGACCAAGGACUACUCCGUGAAGGGAAAGAGAUCCAUGGAUACAUAGUCAGAAAAGGCCUUCUGCAUGAGGAGUCUUCUAUAGGAAAUAGCUUACUUGGCUUAUAUAUGAAAUGCCAUCACUCAUUUACUGCUAAGCUUUUGUUCAGGACAAUGCCAGUAAGAGACCUGAUCUCAUGGAACACAAUGCUUUCUAGUUACUCAAGAGAUGUCACAUUGGGAGUAGAGGCUCAAGCUAUGUUCAAAGAGCUGCUUUCUGAAGGUUUAAAGUGCACUUUGACCACUAUACUUGCUGUUCUAUCUUCAUGCUCUUGUCCAGAAGACCUUAGCUUUGGCAAAGGAGUUCACUCUGUUAUCCUGAAGUAUGGAUUUGUGAGUGCAGUUUCAGUUGUUAAUGCGUUGAUGCACAUGUACAUAUGCUGCGGGGACACACUGGCUGCCUUAGCGCUGCUGGAAAGAAUAAUGUUGGCAUCAGAUAUUAUUUCAUGGAAUACAGCCAUAGUAGGCUGUGUACAGAAUGGACUACAUGGUGACGCCUUGGAAGCCUUUCGGUUCAUGCAUUCAUCUUUGCCACUAAAUCCUGACAGCAUUACACUAGUUAGUGUUUUAUCAGCAUGUGGAACUCUUAAACUGCACUCCCUAGGAAAGUCCAUCCACUGCAUGUCACUGAAGCACUUGCUUGCAUGCAAUUUGAGGGUGAAGAAUGCCCUGUUAACCAUGUAUUUCCGGUUUGCAGAUACUGAAAGUGCCGAGUCAAUCUUCUAUAGUCCCGGAGAUAUAAAUUUGUGCUCCUGGAAUUGUAUGAUUUCUGGCUUUGCACGGAAUAACGAUGGCUGGAGAGCAUUGCAGUUCUAUCAGAAGAUUGAAGACUUCGUGCCUGAUGAAAUGUGUACAGUCAGUAUCAUCUGUGCUUGCACUCAACUAGGGGAUCUUAGAUAUGGAAAGAGCAUACAUGGGCAUGUGGUCAGGUCUGAUCUUCAAAAUAAUGUUUUUGUUUCAGCAUCGCUAGUUGAUAUGUACAGUAAGUGCGGAAGACUCGACGUUGCUGUCAGAGUAUUUGAAUCCUCUGCUGAAAAAUCAAUUGCUUGCUGGAACUCCAUGAUAUCAGCUUUAGGAUUUCAUGGGCAUGGGUUGCGAUCAAUAGAACUAUUCUGCAAGAUGAUUCAGUCUGGGAUGACAGCCACGAGUAGUACUUUUAUUGCUCUUUUGUCAGCUUGCAGUCACUCUGGACUCACUAAUGAAGGAUGGGAGUAUUACUACCUUAUGUCAGAGAAAUUUGGGAUUACUCCAACAGCCGAACACCAUGUAUGCAUCGUAGACAUGCUUGGUCGUGCUGGUCGGCUGCAGGAAGCACAUAAAUUUGUGGAGAGUUUACCAUCCAAGGAAUCACAUGGAGUUUGGGGUGCACUGUUAAGUGCUUGCAAUAACAAGGCUGAACUCAAGAUGGGCGAGUCCAUCGCAAAGCAUUUGCUCUGCCUGGAGCCUGAAAACAGUGGUUAUUAUGUGACAAUUUCUAACCUGUAUGCAAAUCAAGACAUGUGGGAUGGUGCAGUCAAAGUUAGGGACAUUUUGCAAGAUAAAGGAUUGAUGAAGCCCCAUGGUCACAGUAUUGUUGGG
rnacentral:rRNA from 1 species